AUGUCACCGACGAACCUUAAUGCACAAGAGUACUCUUCCAACAGACAGAUGUUUAGACGAUCCAGGAUGUUCAACUGCCGACAAUCAUUCACAAUCAGUGUUCCCUGGAAAAAAAGCAAAAAGACUCCACCAUCUGAUGACAAGGUGAUUUUGAAAAAGAUGAAGACAAUCAAUGAAAUGGGUGAAAGACCAAGGCUAGGUCUUCCUGCAGCCUCAGACCCUUCAGAGAUCCUGGGAUCUAGCAUGCUGCAACAGCAUCAGGCAAAUUCAGUCACUGUAAGUGAUAUUCCAGUAAAAACUGAGUACUUUGCCAUGCUCUCUCAUCACAAUACCUUGACACCAGAAGAUCAAGUUGUAAGAUCAGACAACUUGGAAUCGGAAGAUUCUGGUGUGACAUUGCCUCAUGGAGCCAACUCUGAAAAGCGCUUUGUGCUGCACAGUAGAGACUCUUCUUGUGACUCUGGAGUUCUGAGUGCCUCUUCCUCCCCAGUAAUGAUAUCUAACAAAGACCCCGUGAAUGCCUGUCUCUGCAUCUCAGACUGCAAGGAGCCAAUAGAACACAAUGCAGAAAAGAUACAGACUUUUGCAGUUUCCUUGAACAAGGAUGCUGAUUUUCAGGAUACAAAGCAUAUUGAGCAGUCUUUUUCGGAUGGCAGCCAAGUAGAGUGUUUGCAGGGUAAAAUUUGCAAAGAGGACAGUUCCUCCCUCCUUCCCACUAUGCCUGUAGAAGAGAAAAGUUUUCAGGAUGAUUACAGAAAUGACAACUUAGAAGAACUGACAUUACCUGCUCAUCCCUUAAGACGGUAUCCCACAAGUGACAGCUUGGAUGAGUACAUGGAUGCCUGCUGUAAGCUCAGUAAGGUCAACCAAGAAAAUGCCAAAGCACGUGGCUCAGGCUUGGGUUACCUAGAGCACAUCUGCCAACUUAUUGAAAAGAUUGGACAGCUACAAGAGCACAAUCUGAAAUUACAGAAAGAAAUUUGUGCUUUACAGAAGGAACAGAGAACAAGCCAACUUAAGGAGGAGUAUUUUAUACAGCACUGCUCCUGUGGUGCUGCCAGUGUUUUGCUCAGCUCAUACCGAGAAAUGAAGAAUUAUUUUCCUGGGUGGAGCAGACUGAACAGCCUACUUAUUCAGAACGGAAAUAUAUCUGACCUCUCUGUUAUUCCAGAAAUAGGAGGAAUUAGUGAAAAAAUCAAGCAAAGAGAGGAUCGUGUUUCAGAGAUGACAUGUGAAGAUCAUGAUGCUAAAACCUGUAAGGCAUUGUUAUAAUGCAGCCCCUGAUGGUGCAGUGGGUUAAACCCUUGUGCCGGCAGGACUGCUGACUGACAGGUCAGCGGUUUGAGAGCAGAAGAGCUCCCUCUGUCAGCUCCAGCUCCCUAUGUGGGGACAUGAGAGAAGCCUCCUACAAGAAUGGUAAAACAUCAAACAUCUGGGCAUCCCCAGGACAAUGUCCUUGCAGAUGGCCAAUUCUCUCACACCAGAAGUGACGUGCAGUUUCUCAAGUUGCUCCUGACAUGAAAAAAAUUAUUAUAAUACUAGCUGUGCCCGGCCACGUGUUGUUGUGGUGUUGUCUGGUGGUGUUGGUGAGAACUCGUUGAGGUAGUGGUGGUAUUGAAUAUCUGUUGUAUGGUUGCCUUUAUGUUUAGUAUGCAUUUGGUUGUUUGUGUACUGUGAUAGAGGGGGUGUAUGUCCCUGUGUAGUAUUGUAUAGUAUUUAUACGCUGUCCAUGUGUUGUGAAUGCUUGGAUUUUGUGCUGCUGCAUAAUAGAAAGGGUUGGGCUGGAUGGCCCUUAGGGGUCUCUCCAAACUCUUGGAUUCUAUGCUUCUAUUAUUAUCAUCAUAAUCAUCAUCAUCAUCAUCAUCAUCUUCAUCAUCAUCAUUAUGUAGAGGCUGGAUGGCCAUCUGUCAGGAGGGCUUGGAUUGUGUCCUCCUGCAUGGUAGAAGGAAGUUGAUUGAAAUGAUCCUUAGGGAUCACUCCAAACCUUAGGAUUGUAUGAUGAUGUUGUUGUUAUUAUUAUUAUUAUUAGUAGUAGUAGUAGUAUUAGUAUUGAGAGGCUGGGUGGCCAUCUGUUGGGAGUGCUUGGAUUGUGUCCCGCAUGGCAGAAUUAGGUUGGACUGGACGGCCUUUAGGGGUGUCUCCUAACUGUGUGAUGCUAUGAUUCGAAUUGGAUUAUUACUGUGCAGAUCUUGGAUGGCCAUCUGUCAGGAGUGCUUGGUUUGUGUCAUCCUGCAUGGUAGAAGGAAGUUGAACUGGAUGAUCCUUAGGGGUGUCUCCUAACCUUAGGAUUGUAUGAUCUUCUUCUUCUUCUUCUUCUUCUUCUUCUUCUUCUUCUUCUUCUUCUUCUUCUUCUUCUUCUUCUUCUUCUUCUUCUUCUUGAGAGGCUGGGUGGCCAUCUGUUGGGCGUGCUUGGAUUGUGUCCUCUAUGUCAGAAUUGGGUUGGACUGGAUUACCACAGUAAUUAUUUCAUAUUACAGUAGAAUCUCACUUAUCCAACAUUCGCUUAUCCAGUGUUCUGGAUUAUCCAACGCAAUCUGCCUUUUAGUAGUCAAUGUUUUUGUAGUCAAUGUUUUAAAUUCAUUGUGAUAUUUUGGUGCUAAAUUUUUAAAUACAGUAAUUACAACAUAGCAUUAUUGAGCAUUGAACUUCUUUUUCUGUCAAAUUUGUUGCAUAACAUGAUGUUUGGUGCUUAAUUUGUAUAAUCAUUACCUAAUUUGAUGUUUAAUCGGCUUUUCCUGAAUCCCUUCUUAUUAUCCAACAUAUUCACUUAUCCACGUUCUGCCGGCCUGUUUAUGUUGGAUAAGUGAGACUACUGUGUAUUUAUAAUCUUAUAUUAUCUGCUUAGAACUGGAUUAUUUGAGGCCCCUUCUACACAACUGUAUAAAAUGCACACUGAAGUGAAUUAUCUGACAGUGUGGACUCAAGAUAAUCCAGUUCAAAGCAGAUAAUAUAAGAUUAUAAAUGGGUAAUAUAGCUAUGUGGAAGGGCCUUGAGUCUACACUGCCAUAUAAUCCAGUUAAAAUCAGAUAAUCUGUAUAUUAUAGGCAGUGUGGAAGAGGCCUGAGGCCUAACUGUGCCUGUCCCCUGGGCUGAGUAGGUUGCUAGGAGACCAAGUGGGCAGAGUUUAGCCUUGUAACUGGCAGCAAUUGGAUAAAAAACAAUUAUUCCUUUUCCUCUAAUUAGGACUUUAUUUUUCUUUUCUUUUUGUUGUAUGAACGUAGAGGCAUGGAUGAGGGGUUGUGUUGCCAAGUUUAGUGUUUCUGGGAUGUGUAGUUUUGUUGUUUUGUCCUAGGCCGAAUUUUUUUUAUCCUUUUAUAUAUAUAGAUUGGACAUGAUCUGGAAAAAAAAGGAUGUUGUUCUCCCACCUCCCCUCCCCACCAAUUUCACUUGUGUGUAUUUAUGAAUUUAAACUAUACCUGUAUAUAGUUAAUACAUUGCUUUUAAAGCAGCUUUUAAAAACUAUUCUAGGGCGGUAGAUUGUAUUAGUUGUAUUGAAUAGUAAGAAACAGGACCACUAUAAUGUUAAGGUAAAAGGUAAAGGUUUCCCCUGACGUUAAGUCCAGUCGUGACUGACUCUGGGGGUUGGUGCUCAUCUCCAUUUCUAAGCCGAAGAGCUGGCGUUGUCCAUAGACACCUCCAAGGUCAUGUGGCCGGCAUGACUGCAUGGAGCGCUGUUACCUUCCCGCCUGAGCGGUACCUAUUGAUCUACUCACAUUGGCAUGUUUUCGAACUGCUAGGUUGACAGGAGCUGGGGCUAACAGCGGGCACUCAUUCCGCUCCCGGGAUUUGAACCUGGCACCUUUUGGUCCGCAAGUUCAGCAGCUCAGCGCUUUAAUGCACUGUGCCACCAGGGGCCCCACUAUAAUGUUGUUUGUCAUAAUUCUUUUUUACUUUACACUAAUGCUUUAAAAAUAAUUUUAAAGCUGUAUAGCCAAGAGCUCUUCAUUUAUCUAACAUCGACAUCUUUGGACUUGGGAUUUGUUCAUUUUUAAGAGCAAUGGAACUUGCUUCCUUCUUAGUUAUACCU
ensembl:lncRNA